rnacentral:misc_RNA from 1 species
AAAGAGGGUCGCAAGACCCAUUUUUAAAACCUACCACCGCCUCUCAUUGGGAUGGAGGAGGUAUGGUUUUUUAAAGUCCACUUAUUACAAAUAUAUAUCGUCUAACGACGAAACAAAAAAAAUUAUCUAA